ensembl:lncRNA
CUGGGUGCAGCGGAAGGUGUAGAGGGAUGAGGUAGGUCCCUGCGGCGGUGGAGGGAUGUGCGGGCGGGCUAGGAUUCUGUGGUUGAGCCUGCGGCCUCUGGGGCCGCGAGUUUGAAUCCUGGUUGCAGCUCUUCCACUUACUAGCUGUGUGGCCAUGGAUAAGGUGCCCAUCCUCAGUUUCUCCGUCUGCAAAAUGAAAACGACUUUUUAGUGGUGUUGUGGACCCAUGAGAUGACGCAUGGAAGCAAGGGCGCAGUCGCUGUAGCUUGCUUUAUUUAUGAGAGAAAAGGAGCUGCCCAGGUGAGAGCACAAAGACCCGAGAAAACAGACCCAGAAAAGAUGGUUUUGGUUGCGGGCUAGGAAGGAGACGUGGCAGAUGAAGCUGGAGAAGUCCGAAGGAGUCCUUAAGUUUUGUAGGGCCUCCUUGGUGUGGGAAGGAGGUUAGUUUCUGCAGGGGUGAAGAACCAUGCAAGGGUAUUUAGCAGAGGGUUUUGUGCAGAUCACUCAGCUCCUGCGUGGAGAAUAAGGCGGGGAUGAAUGUGCUAAAGGCGAUCGAUGUUUAGGUAUUGCAGGACUUAAGAGAAGGGAAUGGGCACCUGGAUGAAAGGGUGAUAGGAGGUGGACAAUGGUGGAUUGUUUUAAAAGAAAUUAUGAGGGAGAGGGAGUCAAGGAUAAAUAUUCUGGUUGAGUAACUGCAUGCAUGUUUGUACCUUUCAGGGAGAGCUAGGAAAUGCUGAAGGGGUGGGCAGUAGAGAAGCAGAUGUUUAGAUUCAGACAGGCUCCCAACCCAGUGAAGAUCAAAGCUGUGACAGAAAGGAUCUCUGGGCCAGCUCAGCUGGCAGGCCAAGCCCCACAGUAUCUGAAGUUUCCCUGGAGGCUGCUCAGGGCACAUGGGAGUGUGGAAUGUAGCUACCAUUUUGUGCAAACGUUAGGUACUCCAUAAGCCUCUAAAAAAUUAGCAAUUUUAUGAGGACCUCGGACCAGAAGAAUGUGGCCAGCAUUCCAGUCAAGACAGGAUAGGAUUUUCACUGAAGCAGCCCAGUCUUUUCCUUCAACCAACUGAGAGGCUCCAAUAAAGUCUUGGGUAUUUACCCAGACCAGCCAAGGCUUUGGAGUCACUGGCAGGAAUCUGGGUAUCUAACUGUUUUCAGAGCAGAAGAAUAGGUGGGAAGGGAACGGCUGUGGAAGACACAUGCAUUUCCACUUCCUUCUGUAAAUGCAGCUCAGUACUCCCGGAUGCAAUGAUGUCUAGGAUUUGCUUCAAAACACAACAAAGGGAUGGGGAAGCAGAUGGGAGUGUAGAUGAGUCAAAAGUGGCCACAAGUUACUAAUUGUUAAAGCCACGUAAUGGGGAUGUGGAGAUUCGUCGUACUGUCUCUAUAUUUUUGUGGAUGUUUAAUGGGGAUGUGGAGAUUCAUUGUACUGUUUCUAUAUUUUUGUGGAUGUUGAAAAAUAUUUUCUUUUUCUUUUUUUUUUUGAGAUGGAGUCUCGCUCUAUUGCCCAGGCUGGAGUGCAGUGGCACAAUCUCUGUUCACUGCAACCUCCGCCUCCCGGGUUCAAGUGAUUCUCCUGCCUCAGCCUCCCAAGUAGCUGGGACUACAGGCGUGUGCCACCAUGCCUGACUAAUUUUUGUAUUUUCAGUAGAGAUGGCCUGGCCAACACAGAAAAACCUCAUCUCUCCUAAAAAUACAAAAUUAGCCAGGCGUGGUGGCGGGCACCUGUAAUCCCAGCUGCUCAGGAGGCUGGGGCAGGAGAAUCGCUUAAGCCUGGGAGGCAGAGGUUGCAGUGAGCUGAUACCGCGACAUUCCACUCCAGCCUGGGAGACAGAGCAAGACUCUGUCUCAAAAAAAUAAAAAAUAAAAUAAAUAAAUGUUUUCUGAACUGUAUUCUCUGUUGCUUCAUAGUUAAUUUGUGUUUGCCAUUUUUAAGAUAAAAAACCAAGGAGAGUUCUCUACACAAUGUAGAUAUUUGAUAAGUACUUAUUAAUUGCUUGGUGUGCUAGUCUAUUCUUUAAAUAACAGAGGUUCCAAAACAAAGAGCUUCAGUAAUAGGAUCACAGUCAGGUAACCAAUUAUCCGAGUAGGAAGGUUGCCUUAGUUGAAGUAACUGGAGGUGAAUGGGGAUUUGUCAGGCAGACUCUUCCAGGUAGAGGUGAACCUUCCCUGUUGUUUUGACAGAAGGAGGAAAUGGAAUGACCAUCAAGAGAAAGGUAGUUGCUGGCUUGAAAGGAUCAUCUGUGCAACAGGCAGCUAAUCAGAAGAAGACCUUAUAAAUACUUUUGAUACCACCCACACUGUUCCUAUUAUUCUCCGCCACUCCAUCGGCCUAGUGAACUCUUCCUCAUCCUUCAAAACCCAGCUUAAACAUGACCUUCAGGAAAUCUUCAGUUGGCUUCCCAGGACAGAGUGGGUCUGUCCUCUGCAUGCUCCUGCUGCUGUGCUGUACUCACCACACUCUACUGUAAUUUACUGGUUUAUAAGUCAGUUCCGCUGCUGGGUUGUGAGCUCCUCCAAGGCAGGAGCUUUGCCAUAUCUACCUAUGCUCCCAGGACUUACACAGUGCCUGAUGUGUAGGAGGUACCCCCUGAAUGUUUAAUAUAAUUAGAAGGAGCAUAUCAGGUAAAUUAGCAAAGCAACCUAUGGGAUGCAGGAUGUCAGACAAUAGGGGUAGGUGGGCUUAUGGGAGCUGAAGAUUACAUGCGCCUCACCUCUAGUUGAUUGCUCUGUGCGAUAGGGGCCCAGUGGUGGUGGAUCUAACAACUUUUUAAGAGAUUCUGAAAAUUCAGACUGACUUGAAUAUUCCAGAUUUUCAACAUUAGCAACUAAUUCGAUUUGGGGGAAAAAAUGUAGCAUGGGUCUGCAGAUAAGAUGUGGCUAUAAUUCAUGUUCAGAGGUAAUCAGGAAACGAUUAGUUGACUGAAAAUGUAGUUGACAAUCAGAUGGAUGCUAGGUUGCCAAUAAAACGUGUUGAGUGGAAUUCACAUGCCCCAGAAAGCUCGUCCUGGUGCUGUGGGCCAGGAAAAGGGCCCAAGUGUGGGAAGAAGGAUUCAGGAGGCAGAGCCUACUCUCUCAGUGCUGCCGGAGCCACUCUUGCUUGAGCUGAAGUACUGUGGACUCUUUUGCAGCCUUUCCUGGUAUUGCUCAAACUGAGCCACCCUUGAUAUUGUGCCUCUCAGAAUGAUGGAUUAAAUGUUAUUGUUUCCUUGCAUUCCAUAGGCAUCAGAUAUCAACUGUCAUUGUGAAACAUAUUACAAUGUAAGAGAUUUGAUAUUGUCCUAACAGUGUUAGUCUCUGGUGGCUAUACUGAGCUCUUCUGGUUUAGAGGUGAAACAACCCAGAGAAAGGAUUUAUUUAUGUAUUCGUUUUUGGUCUGAAGACCAAAAAGGAUGUUUACAAGAUAUUAACAGUAAUAAUUCAUUCAGCAGCUGUUUUUAAAGCACCUGCUAUAUGAUAACUGCUACAGAUACAGUGAUGGUGAAAGCACAGUUAGCUCAGUGUUAUUUUAGAAGCUUUUACUUUGUGCUUCCUCGAUUUAUAUUUUCUGUACUGAUCGUGCAUAAUUUUUUUACAAUCAUUAAAAAAACAAGAAAGCAAUUUCUUUUUGCAAAAAAAGGAAAAAAAGAGCUUUCUUUUGCUUUGAAAAAUGAGCCCUCAAGAGAGGAAUCCACUUGGGGAUUUGGGCUUUUAUUUUCUAAGAACUACCUAAAGAGUCCAGUAAGAGAAAUAAUGCAAAGAAAAUAUUAACACUGAAAAUUCUUUAGCAAAUAUCAAGUCCAACUGAUUCAUCUUAUUGAAGAGAAAACCAAAGUACAGAUGAGCAAAUGACUCAGUCUAGGUCAUAGGUGUGACCCAGUCAGGACAGAACAGACUGAGGUCUAGAUCUUCUGCUUUCCAGCCCUGUAAGCUUUUCCAUUACACCAAGUCGACUUGUCAUAAACAUUCAUUUGUUUGAGACAGUCUCUUCUGAUUCAUUUGAAGGUAGUCUUCAGACAUUUUAUUGGGUAAAUCUUUCAUUUGUCCAAAUCUAUAUAUAGCUCUUUUCUUUCCAAAAAAAGUCUAGGCUCUUCCAAAUUGCUGAGUCAGAGAACAUCUCAGUAUUUAUAAUGCUUGAGAGUUGGUUCUAUAUAUUUACACAGUACUCAGAGAUGUGUCUCAGAAACCAGUGAACUAAUUAAAUUGUAAUGAAACUCCAUGAAGGUAGUAACUGUUCCUAUCCAAAUUCAUCGUGUACCCUACCCCAGCACCCAGUGCAGUGCCUGACACACAGUAGGUGCCCAAUAAAUAUUUGCUGAAGGAAUGAAUUCUAAUAGAAUUGAGAUUUUUCUGUGUACAAGGGAUUAUUUCACAUGUUGUUUUUCAUAUUUCCCCAAUGAACUCAAAAUGGAAAUAUUCACCAGCCUGCUUGACAUUGCCAUUUGAAUAAUAGAAACCUAGAAUUUAACACCUCAGAAAGUAAGCUUCUACUUAAAAAAAAUUCGCUGGGUGUGGUGACAUCCACCUGUAGUCCCAGCAGGAUCGGUUGAGCCCAAGAGGUCGAGGCUGCAGUGAGCCUUGAUCAUGCCACCGCACUGCAGCCUGGGAGACAAAGUGAGGCCCUGUUUCAAAAAACAAACAAAACCAAAAGCUCCUGAUUUUACCCCUAAACCUAAUCAUUUUCCAAGUAAAUGGCAGCACCAUUCAUUUACCUAGGGGCAGAAACUUCGGGUCGUUCUUGACCUCUGUCUCUCAUACUCUUCAUCCACUUCUCCAGUGAAUCCUGCAGCUCUUCCUGCAGACUACAUUUUUUUCUUUUUCUUUUAUUUAUUUAUUUUUUUUUUUGAGAUGGAGUCUUGCUCUGUCGCCCAGACUGGAGUGUAGUGGCUUACUGCAACCUCCAACUCUGAGGUUCAAGUGAUUCUCCUUCCUCAGGCUCCUGAGUAGCUGGGAUUACAGGCGCCCACCACCACACCUGGCUAAUUUUUGUAUUUUUAGUAGAGAUGGCAUUUCACUAUGUUGGUCAGGCUGGUCUCGAACUCCUGACCUCAGGUGAUCCGCCCACCUCGGCCUCCCAAAGUGGUGGGAUUACAGGUGUGAGCCACCAUGCCCGGCCCUGCAGACUAACUUCUGAAUCCAGCCAGUUCUCCCCACCUCCUCCAAGACCACGCUGAUCCAGGUACCAUUCAGCUCUCCUGCAACAGCCUCCUAACUGCUCCCCUUGCUUUUUCUCUUGCCCCCUUAUGAACUGUUUUCUCCUCCUAAGGUAAUCAGAUCAAGUCACUUCCCGGUUCAAACCUCUCCCAUGGCUUUCCUUCAAACUUAGGAAAAAAACCCAAAGCCCUUACGGUGGUCUAAAAAGCCCUGCGUGAUCUGGCUCCCUCCAUGGCCUCCUUUCCUGCCAUUCCCCCCUCAGUGUGCACCAACCAAAAUGGCCUUCUUUGCUCUUUCUUGAACAAGCCAAGUAUAUUCCCACCUCAGGGCUUUUGCACCGGCUAAUUGCUCAGCCUGGAACUCUCUUUCCUCGGAUUCUCAUAGCUUGCUCUUUCAUUCUUCUUACAUCAGAGCUGCCAUGUCAGCUCCUCAUAAAGGCUUUGGCUCACACUCCUGUAUAAAUGCCUCCCCUUAACCGGCUUCAUCUUUCUUCACUGCAUGUAAUCACUACCUAAAAUUAUAUAUGUUUAUUAGUGUAUUAUGUAUCUCCUCUGAUUAUAAGGUUUCAUGAGGCCUGGCAAGGAUUCUUAUUUUAUAUAUCAAUGUAUUCUUAACCUCUAAAGCAAUGCCUGGCAUAUAGUAUGUGCUCGAUAAAUAUUUACUUAUUGAAUGAAUGAAUGAAUGAAUAUUUUCCUGGACCUUUUCAUCUCUUGCUGCCUAACCUGACAUUGCCAACUUGGAGGAAGAUGAAUUAUCAAGAGUGAUUCAAAGGACCUGAAAUAAAACUUGAAAAGCUUAGAAGUUCACAAUAUAGCAGCUCUGGGCAUAGGUUGCCCCAAUAACUUCUUUCAAGCUAGGUCCCAUGCAAGAACCUUUAUUCUCCCCUGUCAAGGUACACCACUUUGCACUUUUCACUCUUUAAAUUUAGUUUUGUAUUGUAUGUAGUUUAUACACCUGAAAGCACAUAAGAGGUGCUGGUCUUCUCCCUAGAAUUCUAGCCAGGGUACUGCUGGGUGUACGAUGAGCUGGAUUAUUCUGCAGAAUUUACAUCGCAUAAGUAAUUUGCCUGUGCCUUAGAUUUGUUUAAAUAUCUGUGAAGUCAUUUAAAUUCAUUUAACUCAAGGGAUUUCCUAACAACCUCCCUCUUGGUCUGUUCUCCCUGACUUAGAAGUUGCUUCUUCAAUUUCUCCCUCUGUAAAAUUGGGGUAAUCGUAGCAGUCCUCACAGAGCGGUUAUGAGGCUUAAAUGAGACGGCAGUGAUGAAGUGCUGACAAGAAGAUCCGGCCUGUAGCAGGUGUUCAGUGAAUGCUAAGAGCUGUUACAUGUGUCAUUACUGUCACCACCAUCAUGCCUGACGCCCAGCUCAAAAAUGAUUAGCUUCUAGUUGACUUUCAAGUCGAAAUCUAGUCUCUUCACCUCCCAGUCAGGGCCCACCAGCGAUACCGCCUCAAGUUCUGGUCGACAGUCUCACUGCUUGUUUUUCCCUAACAUUAUUGCUGGGUUUUUGGUGAAUUUCAUCUAUUUUCUAACUCCACCUGAUAUCUUCAUUUUCUACUCCAGGGCUUUAAAAAUCCCAGUCUACUGCUUUUAUUGAAGUUCCUUGCCUUUAAUUUAUUUUUUUAAUGUUUAAAUCCAUCCUUAUGUUUUCUGAAAUAUGUCAGACCUCUUCUUUAACCAGUAAGUUUUGAAACUAAUUAAUACUUUAAUACAUUUAGCUUUUUAAAAUGUCUUUAUUGAGGUAUAACACACAGUAAAGUGCACUAAUCUUAAGCGUAUGGCUGAAUGAAUGUUUCCGUGUGAAGUGGAAACAUUUCACACAUGUGAAAUCCCCAGCCACAUCAAAAUAUAGAACAUUUCCAGCAACCCAGAGGCUCCCUCAGGCCCGUUUCCAGUCAGUACUAUCCAAAAGAAACUGGCCAGGCGUGGUGGCUCACUUCUGUAAUCCCAGCACUUUGGGAGGCCGAGGCGGGCGGAUCACAAGGUCAGGAGUUCGAGGCCAGCCUGGCCAACAUAGUGAAACCCCAUCUCUACUAAAAUACAAAAAAAAUUAGCCAGGCGGGGUGGAGGGUUCCUGUAAUCCCAGCUACUUGGGAGGCUGAAGCAGAAGAAUCACUUGAAACCAGAAGCCGGAAGGCAGAGGUUUCAGUGAGCCGAGAUCGCACCACUGCACUCCAGCCUGGGCAACAAGAGUGAAACUCCAUCUCAAAAGAAAAAAAAAAAAAAAAA